rnacentral:rRNA from 1 species
AUUGAACGCUGGCGGCAUGCCUUACACAUGCAAGUCGAACGGCAGCACGGGUGCUUGCACCUGGUGGCGGGUGGCGAACGGGUGAGUAAUACAUCGGAACGUACCUUAUCGUGGGGGAUAACGCAGCGAAAGCUGUGCUAAUACCGCAUACGCCCUGAGGGGGAAAGCGGGGGAUCGCAAGACCUCGCGCGAUUAGAGCGGCCGAUGCCUGAUUAGCUUGUUGGUGGGGUAAAAGCCCACCAAGGCGACGAUCAGUAGCUGGUCUGAGAGGACGAUCAGCCACACUGGGACUGAGACACGGCCCAGACUCCUACGGGAGGCAGCAGUGGGGAAUUUUGGACAAUGGGGGCAAGCCUGAUGCAGCAACGCCGCGUGAGGGAUGACGGCCUUCGGGUUGUAAAGCUCUUUUGUCAGGGAAGAAACAGCAGCUCUAACACAGUUUGCGAAUGACGGUACCUGAAGAAUAAGCACCGGCUAACUACGUGCCAGCCGCCGCAGUAA